rnacentral:rRNA from 1 species
GACGAACGCUGGCGGCGUGCCUAAUACAUGCAAGUUGAGCGAUGAAGAUUGGUGCUUGCACCAAUUUGAAGAGCAGCGAACGGGUGAGUAACGCGUGGGGAAUCUGCCUUUGAGCGGGGGACAACAUUUGGAAACGAAUGCUAAUACCGCAUAACAACUUUAAACAUAAGUUUUAAGUUUGAAAGAUGCAAUUGCAUCACUCAAAGAUGAUCCCGCGUUGUAUUAGCUAGUUGGUGAGGUAAAGGCUCACCAAGGCGAUGAUACAUAGCCGACCUGAGAGGGUGGUCGGCCAAAUUGGGACUGGGACACGGCCCCAACUCCUACGGGAGGCAGCAGUAGGGAAUCGUCGGCCAUGGACGAAAGUCUGACCGAGCAACGCCGCGGUGGUGAAGAAGGGUUUCGGAUCGUAAAACUCUGUUGGUAGGGAAGAACGGUGGUGAGAGUGGAAAGCUCAUCAAGUGACGGUAACUACCCAGAAAGGGACGGCUAACUACGUG